CGCCGAAGGUGGGGCUAAUGACUGGGGUGAAGUCGUAACAAGGUAGCCGUACCGGAAGGUGCGGCUGGAUCACCUCCUAACAGGGAGACAACAACUGAUCGUGAUGUCUGAGUUAUUUAAUACUUAGGCCAUGAUCCUGUCACCUUAGGUCGAUCGGUACCUCUGAUUGAUACUUAAAUAGAAGCUGAUUAAAUCGGUUUAGAUAUGAGUGUUGAUUUCAGUUCCUAAACUUGUCUAGGUCACACCCAACAAGGGUACUCCUGGGCCAUUAGCUCAGGUGGUUAGAGCGCACCCCUGAUAAGGGUGAGGUCCCUGGUUCAAGUCCAGGAUGGCCCAUUCGGUGUUGGGGGUUUAGCUCAGUUGGUAGAGCGCCUGCUUUGCAAGCAGGAUGUCAGCGGUUCGAGUCCGCUAACCUCCACUGAUCUACCUCCUGUGAAUAAGCAAUGGAGGAAGUCUUGUUGAUGUGAUUUAGAUUAUUUUGCUGACUAGACCCUAGCUUCCUAUCAUCCAAAAUUUCAAAUGCUUUUUGUGGAUUUUGUUGAUAAGACGCUGGGCUCACUGUGGUUCACAAGAACUACAGAGAUGUUUGGCAGAACCUUGACAACUGCAUAGGUGAGUCUGGAAAGAAUAAAGCAUCUCAUGGAUGCAUUAUUCUUCUAAAUUAGUUUAGGUUGGCUGUGAACUCAAUUAACCUGAAUUGAUUUAUUAGAAUAGUGCUUAAUUCUUGAGUCAAGAGCUGAGACUCUAUAGCUACUUUUCUUACUACAGUAAGAAAAGUAAUAUCUAAAUCCAGCUAAAUUUUAAAUAACUUGAAUCGGUCAAACUGAUACUGGUUAUUAUUAACUUGUCGGAUGAAGGUUGAUUAAAUCAAAUUAAGAUUUAAUUACACGCUAUAGAGAUUAAUGGUCAAGCUACAAAGGGCUCACGG
rnacentral:misc_RNA from 1 species